UUACGGCCACAUCAUGUUGAAAAAACUGCUUCCCGUAUGAUCACCGAAGUUAAGCAACGUCGAUCCUGGUCAGUACCUAGUUAGAUGACUGUUUGGGAAUCCCAGUCGCUGCAA